CUGAUUAAUGGUAGCCUAUGUCAAUAAGUGAAAAGUAGUGUGAGGAAAAGUUAAGCUUAGAAAUUUUUCCCUAAUAAAAUAAGGGAAGGGGAGAAGCAUAUUUUAAUGUUAAGAAUAGGUUUGUAGAGGCAUAAAGUGCCAUUAGCCUAUUGAAUGUAAGUAUCUGGGCUAUUAAGUUUAUACUGAAAUAUUUUCUAUGUAUGUAAUAUUUCAACAAACAUAUAUUGUAUUAAUUAAUGGUCAAAUACUAAAUUGAGAUUUUAUAAAAAAAAUUAAUAAGCUGUAAAGCUUGUCAAUUUGUUUACUUUAUUACAACUACAAUUUUUCAGCCCUUUUCCAGAAUUUGAACUAAUUUGAUCAUAAAGAUUGAUCUAUUUAUAAUUUAUCGAUUACAAUUUUUAGACAAUUAAAGCUGGUUAAAGGAACUUUUAUUUUGGAAAAAGAACUGCUGCUGUUUCAAGACAUGCGCACUAGCUGCGACAUCUAGUGACGACAUUUACCGGGCUUUAACGGUUGUUGCUGCAAUUUCUCUGAGAUUUCUCAAGAUCAUCAGUUUGGACAGAAUUCAUUUGAAGAAUUAAUAGCACUAGCAGGUUCCAAUAAAGGCUGGAACAGAACAGACAGAAAAGAAUCCGUCAGAAGAAAUUCAACUACUGUUCGUGCACCAGAUGGUGAAGUAGAAAAGUUCGUAAAAACUUCUGCAGCUUGCAUCUGACAGAGAUGCAAAAAGAAUAAGAGAGCGGGCCUGAAAACAAGCAAAUUCAAGUCUUUCCUUCUUUUAGGGUACACUUGAGGAGUGUCCAGAUGUUUAUUAAUGUUUUAUUACUGUAAUGUUAUGUUUCAAAUAAAC